UACGUACUGGGGCGAACGUUAUUCGGAAUCACUGGGCUUAAAGGGUGCGUAGGCGCCUUCCAGGUCCGGUGUGAAAUCUCUCGGCUCAACCGAGAAAUGGCGCUGGAAACCGGAAGGCUUGAGUGUGCUAGGGGUGUGUGGAACUUCCAGUGGAGCGGUGAAAUGUGUUGAUAUUGGAAGGAACGCCGGUGGCGAAAGCGACACACUGGGGCAUAACUGACGCUGAGGCACGAAAGCUAGGGUAGCGAACGGG
rnacentral:rRNA from 1 species